CUCGCUUUUGCCAAAGGUUAGGAAAAGUGACCCUUUGAAGUAGUUUUCCAUAAGGCUCUCUCACUGUCGGCCAGAAGUUGUCAAGCCUACCGGGAAGGGGCACCUAGGAGGCCAAAAGAUUCUCUGCCUGGUUUUCCUGGCUGCUUCCCGUGAUGUUUGAUCCAAGGCAGCACUCGAGCUCUCUGUCCCCCAGCCACAUUGUGGAGCCUGACCAACGCGUUUGGAUUCUUGCAGCCACCCCGGGCACUUCAGGGCCCAGCACUCCAGCUGGCAGUGCAGCUUGUGCAGCAUCGACGGCCUGCAGCUCAGCACAGAGCGCACCUGGGCAGGAGGGAUGGUCGCCAGCAGAUCUAGGCCUUGCCGUCGAGAAGAUGAUUCGGGAGAUCAGGAUGUCCCUGUCUGAAAGAUCUCCCUCUGCUCAGGACAAUGUCAGUGUUGCCCCCGAUUCCUCAGGAGGGGAGCCUGUGGACAGAGCUGCAGCAGAGGAAGCUGCAUCUGGCACCGAGAGCUGCAGGAACGGUUCCCAGGAGCCCGAGGAGCCUGAUGCCAUCUGACCAACAUCUCCAGGAGGGCUGCCCUGCGUGGCAGGAGGAGACAGAGGAGAGCCCGUGACCAUCGGGCAGGUAGAAUUCCUCUGCUUGUAAAUAUGUUUAUAGAUUCCUAUGAUUUUACUUAUCAAAGGGUAUAGUUCUGUUUACAGAUUAGAGUGUUCUGUUUAUAUGUGCAUAUAUUGAUAGAUCUGUAGAGUUAAAUGGGGAUAUGUAUUCAGUUAGACAAGUGAUAUAUUUUAUUAUAAAUUUACCUGUAUAGAUUUUCAGAGUUUAAAUUUUUUUGUGUAGAGUCCAAAAAAAAAAUAUAGAUGAAGUUUCAUUUAUAAAUGAGUAUAGUUAUAGAGUAAGAAGGAUAUGAAUGUUUAGAUGAAUAGGUUGCGGUUUGCCUAGGCCUAGGCUGCAUUUUUACCUCUUUCCCCCUUCACCUGCCUUUCUCACCUCUUGCUUUUCCCCCUGUGCCCCCUGUGUCCCCUCUCCCUGUGCUGGGUCCGAGCUGGCGGCCGGGCCGGCCAGAGCAGCACUUCCAGCCCCGGCUGUCCCUGGAGCGGUGGGAGCUGCCGCUGGCCCCAGGCACUGUCCCCUGAGGAGCUGCUGAAGGACGCUGCAUGGAAGACCUUGAGGACAGCCAGAGCCUGAUGGGAGCCAGCAGAGAGAAGCUGAAGGCCAGCAGCAGGAGCAGGGAAUGGGGACCUGCUGCUGCCACCCUGGAGAGAGCUUGGAUGCCCCAUCUGCUGUCCCUGUCCAGGAGAGCUGCUCUGCACGGGAGGAGAAGACCGAGGGAGAGGCUUUGAAGAUGAGGCAGCUGGGAUCCUUCUUCUUUUUGUGCUGUUUAAUUAUAUAUGGACUAGCAUGGAGUUACUGAUAAUUACAUGCAUAUUUUCAUAUGUAGCUUGCUAUUUGUAUUGGUAUAUUUCUGUAUGUAUCUUGUUAUUUUUAUGAAUGUACUCUCUAUGUACGUAUAGAUAUAUACAUACAGGUUUGCAGUUACGUAUUUAUGUAAAUACGUAUCUACUUUUUUAUGUAUGUUGUAAUAUCUGUGUUUAGUUAUUUUUCCAUAUGUGUACAGCUUUGUAGGUGUUUAUAUUUAUCAAUGUAGUUUUCAGUAUAUAUCUUUUAAAACUAGUGUAUUGGUAUUUGUAUUGGUACAGAUGCCUAUUUUUAUAUUUUUAGUUGUAUAUUGAUGUAUUUGUAUUUAAAUAUAUUUACAUAUGUUUCCAGAUGCAUAGCUGUAUAUUUGUAUGGAUACAGUUGGAUUGGUAUUUAGACUGGUACAGUAAUAUUUGUAUAUUUAAAAAUAGUUGUGGUUGAAGUAUUUAUAUAUAUAUUUUAUAUAAUCUAUAAUAUUUAAUCUAUAUUUACAUCGUUAGAUUGUUAUAGAUUUAUUUUUAUAUAUGUUCAUGUAUGUAUGUAUUAAAUUCUGUUUAUAGAUGUAUAGUUGCAUAACUAUUGAAUUCUUGUUGGGGUCUUUAGAGAGGGAAUGCAUAUUUUUGUAUUUCUAUAUGGGGUCUGCAUUUGUAGUAAUAUGUAAUAAAUUAAGUUGUUAAACGCCUAAUUGAUCUUUGUGUAUAGUGAGUUGCGUAUAGUGGAGGCUAGCAAUAAAUCAAGUUUGGUUAAGUGAACUUGGUUUUUGUAUAUUUUUACAUAGACAGGUUGUAAUAAUCUAAUAAAUUGCUGGUUUUACCCUAAAUUGAGAUCUGUUUAGUUCUGUAUUGUCAGCAUGGGUGUAGCAGUUUGUAAUAAAUGACAUUUUUCAACUGAAA